rnacentral:misc_RNA from 1 species
GAUGAAGAACGCAGUGAAAUGCGAUACGUAAUGUGAAUUGCAAAUUCAGUGAAUCAUCGAGUCUUUGAAUGCACAUUGCGCCCCCUGGUAUUCCGGGGGGCAUGCCUGUCCGAGCGUCAUUGCUGCCCUCAAGCACGGCUUGUGUGUUGGGCCCCGUCCUCCGAUCCCGGGGGACGGGCCCGAAAGGCAGCGGCGGCACCGCGUCCGGUCCUCGAGCGUAUGGGGCUUUGUCACCCGCUCUGUAGGCCCGGCCGGCGCUUGCCGAUCAACCCAAAUUUUUAUCCAGGUUGACCUCGGAUCAGGUAGGAAUACCCGCUGAACUUAAGCAUAUCAAUAAGCGGAGGA